rnacentral:rRNA from 1 species
CUGGAGGCCCCAGGGUGGGACCGCGGCCUAUCAGGUAGUAGGUGGGGUAACGGCCCACCUAGCCUACGACGGGUACGGGCCCUGAGAGGGGGAGCCCGGAGAUGGGCACUGAGACAAGGGUCUAGGCCCUAAGGGGCGCAGCAGGCGCGAAGAUUCCGCAAUGCCCGAAAGGGCGACGGAGUGAACCCGAGUGCCACCCGCUGAGGGUGGCUGUUCCCCUGUGUAAAAAGCAGGGGGCAGGAAGGGGAGGGCAAGGCUGGUGGCAGCCGCCGCGGUAAAACCAGCUCCUCGAGGGGUUCCCACGCAUACUGGGCCUAAAGCGUCCGUAGCCGGCCCUGUAAGUCCGCAGUUAAAUCCGCCUGUAGACAGGCGGGCUGCUGCGGAUACUACAGGGCUAGGGAGCGGGAGGAGCCGGGGGUAUUCCCGGGGGAGCGGUAAAAUGCGUAGAUCCCGGGAGGACCACCAGUGGCGAAGGCGCCCGGCUUGAACGCGUCCGACGGUGAGGGACGAAAGCUGGGGGAGCAAACCGGAUUAGAUACCCGGGUAGUCCCAGCCGUAAACGAUGCCGGCUAGGUGCUGGCCAAGGUUUCGACCUUGGCCAGUGUCGAAGCGAAGGCAUUAAGCCGGCCGCCUGAGGAGUACGGCCGCAAGGCUGAAACUUGAAGGAAUUGACGGGGGGGCACCACAAGGGGUGAAUGCCUGCGGCUUAAUUGGACUCAACGCCGGGAAUCUUACCGGGGGCGACAGCAGGAUGAAGGUCAGGCUGAAGACCUUACCAGACGCGCUGAGGGGUGGUGCAUGGCCGUCGCCAGCUCGUGCCGUGAGGUGUCCUGUUAAGUCAGGCAACGAGCGAGACCCCCGCCCCUAGUUGCCAGCGGCCUCCUUCGGGAGGGACCGGGCAAACUAGGGGGACCGCCUCCGAAGAGGAGGAGGAAGGUGGGGGCUACGGCAGGUCAGUAUGCCCCUAAUCCCCCGGGCCGCACGCGGGCUGCAAUGGGCGGGACAGCGGGAUGCGACCCCGAGAGGGGGAGCUAAUCCCUCAAACCCGCUCGUAGUUGGGAUCGAGGGCUGCAACUCGCCCUCGUGAACCCGGAAUCCCUAGUAACCGCGGUUCUCCAUACCGCGGUGAAUACC